GGAGAGGUGGCAGAGUGGUUGAAUGUACCUGACUCGAAAUCAGGCGGGCGGUCAAACGCCUCGGGGGUUCGAAUCCCCCCCUCUCCUCCA
rnacentral:tRNA from 2 species